rnacentral:rRNA from 1 species
GCUCCUGGCUCAGGAUGAACGCUAGCUACAGGCUUAACACAUGCAAGUCGAGGGGCAGCAUGGACCCAGCUUUGCUGGGUUUGAUGGCGACCGGCGCACGGGUGAGUAACGCGUAUCCAACCUGCCCUUUACUCCGGGAUAGUCUCCUGAAAGGGAGUUUAAUACCGGAUGUGUUUGUCUUUCCGCAUGGGAGCGACAAAUAAAGAUUAAUUGGUAAAGGAUGGGGAUGCGUCCCAUUAGCUUGUUGGG